rnacentral:rRNA from 1 species
UCCGUAGGUGAACCUGCGGAGGGAUCAUUACUGAGUUAUCUAAACUCCCAACCCUUUGUGAACCUUACCGUCGUUGCCUCGGCGGGCUGUGCUUACCCUGUAGCUACCCUGUAGCUACCCGGUAGGUGCGCUCCAAGCCCGCCGGUGGACCACUAAACUCUGUUUUUAAUACUGUAUCUCUGAAUGCUUCAACUUAAUAAGUUAAAACUUUCAACAACGGAUCUCUUGGUUCUGGCAUCGAUGAAGAACGCAGCGAAAUGCGAUAAGUAAUGUGAAUUGCAGAAUUCAGUGAAUCAUCGAAUCUUUGAACGCACAUUGCGCCCAUUAGUAUUCUAGUGGGCAUGCCUAUUCGAGCGUCAUUUCAACCCUUAAGCCUCAGUUGCUUAGCGUUGGGAAUCUGCCCUGUAUUUACAGCGCAGUUCCUUAAAGUGAUCGGCGGAGUUGGGGCAUACUCUAAGCGUAGUAAUAUUCUUCUCGCUUCUGUAGUUGUCCUGGCGGCUUGCCGUUAAACCCCUAUAUUUCUAGUGGUUGACCUCGGAUUAGGUAGGAAUACCCGCUGAACUUAAGCAUAUCAAUAAGCGGAGGA